UAUCUGCCCUUUGGCCUGGAAUAACACGAGGAAACUUGUGCUAAUACCGGAUAAGUCUUUACAGAGAAAGCUUUAUGCACCAUUGGAUGAGCCUGCACUUGAUUAGUUUGUUGGUGGGGUAAUGGCCUACCAAGACUGUGAUCAAUAGCUGAUUUGAGAGGAUGAUCAGCCACAUUGGGACUGAGACACGGCCCAAACUCCUACGGGAGGCAGCAGUGGGGAAUCUUGCACAAUGGAGGAAACUCUGAUGCAGCGAUGCCGCGUGAGUGAAGAAGGCCUUUGGGUUGUAAAGCUCUUUCGUCGGGGAAGAAAAUGACUGUACCCGAAUAAGAAGGUCCGGCUAACUUCGUGCCAGCAGCCGCGGUAAUACGAAGGGACCUAGCGU
rnacentral:rRNA from 1 species